AGCAAGGUGGCUGAGUUUAGGCGGUAGAUUGUAAGUCUAUUAACGGGUUAUUUUUCCUCUUGCUA
rnacentral:tRNA from 1 species